rnacentral:lncRNA from 1 species
ACCGAGGUGCUAGCUUUCUUGCAAAGAUCGCAUCUUGAUGGUUGAAAAUCUUCUUUUCUCCGAAGACACUCUUAGAGAACAAGAAAAUGUAGGAGGAUCUUGAUCUCUAUGCUAGAGAUUAUGAGAAGAACCUUUCUUCUCUUUUCUUUCUAAAAUUUAUGUACCAAAUCUCUAUAAUAGAGAUGUAAAAAUUUUGUCCAACUUUUGGACAAAAGAAGGAAGAGACAUCUA